GAUGAACGCUGGCGGCGUGCCUAAUACAUGCAAGUCGAGCGAACAGACGAGGAGCUUGCUCCUCUGACGUUAGCGGCGGACGGGUGAGUAACACGUGGAUGACCUACCUAUAAGACUGGGAUAACUUCAGGAAACCGGAGCUACUACCGGAUAAUAUAUUGAACCGCAUGGUUCAAUAGUUAAAGACGGUUUUGCUUACACUUAUAGAUUGAUCCGCGCCGCAUUAGCUAGUUGGUAAGGUAACGGCUUACCAAGGCAACGAUGCGUAGCCGACCUGAGAGGGUGAUCGGCCACACUGGAUCUGAGACACGGUCCAGACUCCUACGGGAGGAAGCAGUAGGGAAUCUUCCGCAAUGGGCGAAAGCCUGACGGAGCAACGCCGCGUGAGGGAUGAAGGUCUUCGGAUCGUAAAACUCUGUUAUUAGGGAAGAACAAAUGUGUAAGUAACUAUGCACGUCUUGACGGUACCUAAUCAGAAAGCUACGGCUAACUACGUG
rnacentral:rRNA from 1 species